rnacentral:rRNA from 1 species
UGUAAGCGUAUACCAAAGUUGUUGCAGUUAAAACGCUCGUAGUCGGAAUUUGGCAGUUCAGGAUGUGUGCACGUCGUGUGCGCACUUCGCGGGGAUUGCUUUUGUGGUCUUGCGUAGGAUGAGGCACUUUUAUUAGUGAACGUCCUCACGCAACCACUUUUUACUGUGAGAAAAUCAGAGUGCUCAAAGCAGGCAUUUGCCGUGAAUGUAUUAGCAUGGAAUAAUAGAAUAGGACUUGGUUCUAUUUUGUUGGUUUGUUGGGACUGAGUAAUGAUUAAGAGGGACAGUUGGGGGCAUUUGUAUUUCGGUGCUAGAGGUGAAAUUCUUAGAUUACCGAAAGACAAACUGCUGCGAAAGCGUCUGCCAAGGAUGUUUUCAUUGA